rnacentral:rRNA from 1 species
GGGGGGGGGGGGGGGGGGGGGGGGGGGGGGGGGGGGGGGGGGGGGGAGAGGGGGGGGUGGGUCGGACGGGUGGGGAGUGGCGGGGGGGGGAGGAAGACGGCGGAAUGUACUUUUGCGUGGGGGAUGGCGUAGGGAAACCAACGCGAAUAACGCAUACGACCUGCGGGUGAAAGCAGGGGGUCUUCGGAACUUGCGCGAGUGAAUGAUCCGAUGUCGGCUUAGCUAGUUGGCGGGUUAAAGGCCGACCAAGGCGACGAUGCGUAGCUGGUCUGGUAGGAUGAUCAGCCACACUGGAACUGAGACACGGUCCAGACUCCUACGGGAGGAAGAAGUGGGGAAUAUUGGACAAUGGGCGCAAGCCUGAUCCAGCCAUACCGCGUGGGUGAAGAAGGCCUUCGGGUUGUAAAGCCCUUUUGUUGGGAAAGAAAAGCAGCAGUUUAAUACCCCGCUGUUCUGACGGUAACCAAAGAAUAAGCACCGGCUAACUUCGUG